rnacentral:rRNA from 1 species
AUUGAACGCUGGCGGCAUGCCUUACACAUGCAAGUCGAACGGCAGCACGGGAGCAAUCCUGGCGGCGAGUGGCGAACGGGUGAGUAAUAUAACGGAACGUGCCCAGUAAUGGGGGAUAGCCCGGCGAAAGCCGGAUUAAUACCGCAUACGACCUACGGGUGCAAGCAGGGGAUCGCAAGACCUCGCGUUAUUGGAGCGGCCGAUAUCCGAUUAGCUAGUUGGUGGGGUAGAAGCCUACCAAGGCGACGAGCUGUAGCUGGUCUGAGAGGACGACCAGCCACACUGGGACUGAGACACGGCCCAGACUCCUACGGGAGGCAGCAGUGGGGAAUUUUGGACAACGGGCGCAAGCCUGAUCCAGCAAUGCCGCGUGCAGGAUGAAGGCCUUCGGGUUGUAAACUGCUUUUGUACGGGGCGAAAAGGCUUCCACUAAUACUGGGGGCUCAUGACGGUACCGUAAGAAUAAGCACCGGCUAACUACGUGCCAGCCGCCGCAGUAACAC